UACGAAGGGUGCAAGCGUUACUCGGAAUUACUGGGCGUAAAGCGUGCGUAGGCGGUUUGUUAAGUCUGUCGUGAAAGCCCCGGGCUCAACCUGGGAAUGGCGAUGGAUACUGGCGAGCUAGAGUACGGUAGAGGAGAGUGGAAUUCCCGGUGUAACAGUGAAAUGCGUAGAGAUCGGGAGGAACAUCAGUUGCGAAGGCGGCUCUCUGGACCAGUACUGACGCUGAGGCACGAAAGCGUGGGGAGCAAACAGG
rnacentral:rRNA from 1 species